AGGGCACCACCAGGAGUGGAGCCUGCGGCUUAAUUUGACUCAACACGGGAAAUCUCACCAGGCCCGGACACCGGAAGGAUUGACAGAUUGAGAGCUCUUUCUUGAUUCGGUGGGUGGUGGUGCAUGGCCGUUCUUAGUUGGUGGAGCGAUUUGUCUGGUUAAUUCCGAUAACGAACGAGACUCUGGCCUACUAACUAGACGUUAGAUCCCUUUGUGGGUCUAUCGCAGCUUCUUAGAGGGACGGGCGGCGUUUAGCCGCACGAGAUUGAGCAAUAACAGGUCUGUGAUGCCCUUAGAUGUUCUGGGCUGCACGCGCGCUACACUGAAGGAAUCAGCGUGUGUUCCCUGUCCGAAAGGACUGGGAAACCCGUUGAACCUCCUUCGUGAUGGGGAUUGGGGAUUGCAAUUAUUCCCCAUGAACGAGGAAUUCCCAGUAGGCGCGGGUCAUAAGCUUGCGUCGAUUACGUCCCUGCCCUUUGUACACACCGCCCGCCGCUACUACCGAUCGAGCGAUUUAGU
rnacentral:rRNA from 1 species